rnacentral:sRNA from 1 species
GCGGCGGCGGCGGCCCAAAGCGGAGUGAAGGAGGGAGGCAGGGAGCCGGGGAGCCGGAACCGGAGUCGCAGCGGCGGAGACCCCUGUGCGGUGCGGAGGGGGCGGCGGCCCCGACUCUGACCCGCGCCGGGGGUGGGCCAUGGCGGAGAUCAGCGACCUGGACCGGCAGAUCGAGCAGCUGCGUCGCUGCGAGCUCAUCAAGGAGAGCGAAGUCAAGGCCCUGUGCGCUAAGGCCAGAGAGAUCUUGGUAGAGGAGAGCAACGUGCAGAGGGUGGACUCGCCAGUCACAGUGUGCGGCGACAUCCAUGGACAAUUCUAUGACCUCAAAGAGCUGUUCAGAGUAGGUGGCGACGUCCCUGAGACCAACUACCUCUUCAUGGGGGACUUUGUGGACCGUGGCUUCUAUAGCGUCGAAACGUUCCUCCUGCUGCUGGCACUUAAGGUUCGCUAUCCUGACCGCAUCACGCUGAUCCGGGGCAACCAUGAGAGUCGCCAGAUCACGCAGGUCUACGGCUUCUACGAUGAGUGCCUGCGCAAGUACGGCUCGGUGACUGUGUGGCGCUACUGCACCGAGAUCUUCGACUACCUCAGCCUGUCAGCCAUCAUCGAUGGCAAGGUAGGCCAGCCCAGGGCUCCAUGGGACGGGGAGAGGAGGGGGGCUCCAGGCCUCAGCCCCGUCCUCUUUCCCUGCUCUCCCCUGUAGAUCUUCUGUGUGCACGGGGGCCUCUCCCCCUCCAUCCAGACCCUGGAUCAGAUUCGGACAAUCGACCGAAAGCAAGAGGUGCCUCAUGAUGGGCCCAUGUGUGACCUCCUCUGGUCUGACCCAGAAGACACCACAGGCUGGGGCGUGAGCCCCCGAGGGGCCGGCUACCUGUUUGGCAGUGACGUGGUGGCCCAGUUCAACGCAGCCAAUGACAUUGACAUGAUCUGCCGUGCCCACCAACUGGUGAUGGAAGGUUACAAGUGGCACUUCAAUGAGACCGUGCUCACUGUGUGGUCGGCACCCAACUACUGCUACCGGUGAGCCAGCUGGGCCGGGCUGGGAGGGGCGGGCAUCUGAGCCGAGCUGCUCCUGACCCUGCUGCCCCGCCUUCCAGCUGUGGGAAUGUGGCAGCCAUCUUGGAGCUGGACGAGCAUCUCCAGAAAGAUUUCAUCAUCUUUGAGGCUGCUCCCCAAGAGACACGGGGCAUCCCCUCGAAGAAGCCCGUGGCCGACUACUUCCUGUGACCCCCCCGGCCCCUGCCCCCUCCAGCCCUUCUGGCCCUCGGACCACUGUGACUCUGCCUUCUUCCUCAGACGGAGGCUGGGCGUGGGGGGGCUGUCCUGGCUCUGCUGUCCCCCAAGAGGGUGCUUCGAGGGUGAGGACUUCUCUGGAGAGGCCUGGAGACCUAGCUCCAUGUUCCUCCUCUCCUCUCUCCCCACUUGAACCAUGAAGUUUCCAAUAAUUUUUUUUUCUUUUUUUCCUUCUUUUUUCUGUUUGUUUUUAGAUAAAAAUUUUGAGAAAAAAAAUGA